CAUAGUUGUUGUUUGAUCCAUGUCUAUGGUGAAAAACAAAAUGUUUAAAAAGGUUGUCCCUAAAUGCAUUAUUCUUUUACAUUUGAAGAGUAAAUUUUUUGCAUUGUAGUAUUAGAAAUUAUUAGAUGUAUUUCAAUUUAAUUAAUUAUAGAAUAAUUAAAUCCAAGAUGAUCCUAAACUUGGUCUGAAGUUGUAGGAAUUGCAUGUAUUUUAAAGACGUACAUUCCUAAUUGUGUACACUGAGAAUGUUGUUCAAAUGAAUUCACUACAUGUAGAUCCCGAUAGUAUCCUCAAUAUAAGCAAAGACUAUGUUCUCAAUUUGUUUUACCAUGCAGUUUGUGUAAAUAUAAAAUGUACAUGUAUUUACAGAAAGCUGUACAGAGAUGUAUGUACAUGAAUUAUAAAUCAUAUGACAUAGUAUUGUACUGUAUUUAAAAACCAUUGAACCUUACUGUGUGCUCAGGUAAGACACUUUCCUCAAAAUCUUUUACCAGGUGGUUUAUGUGAAUAUAAAAUGUAAGAACAUGUGUAUGUAUUAAGAGAAUGCAGUAUUAAUAGGCAUGAAUUACCGGUAUACAUGACAUUGUAUGUUCUGUAAAUUGUCUAUUUUUAUUCCAUUAAACCUGACUACUAUGC
rnacentral:sRNA from 1 species